UUUGGGAAUUGGGUGGGUCGGUGAGACAUUUCAGGAAGUAAAAGCUUUCAAAAUUCAUUAUUUUGAAAAUUCUCUCCUCUAUUUUCUCUCUCUCUAAUGGUCCAUCUCCAUGUUCAUCAUGAUCACUAUUUGCUACUAUUUCCUUCCACCUCAACGUUGGCAACACUUCUUCUCUAUUUCUACUUCAUCUGUUCCUGCCCAGGCCUAUGAAUAUCUCAUGGCUAGAUAACUCUUUUAAUUUUUUUACUUGAGUCUGUAGACAUGCAGCUACUCCACUAUACCUCUCAAUCUACUUUACUCUAGUAAUGGCAAUCCAUUCCUGACCAAUUUAAGCGAAGUUGUUGGACAAAGUGGCUGGCUUCGGUUAUGAUUCAGACAAGCAUCACCAUUCAACAAGGGGACUCUAGGCUAGCUAAAUAGUAUGAAUAUCUUGCAGCAGCAAGAUAAGAAGCAAAUUUCAAGCAACGUGGAUAAGCAUGAGUGUUCCUUUAUCCAAGGGAGCUGUUAGUAGUCUAUUAGAAUUAUAAUUUAGCCACUAGGUAGAUUUUUCAGAUUGAGUUAUUAGUUUAUUAUUUGUUCUUGGAUAUCAUCAAGUUGAUGUUGUAUCAAUUAGUCCUCUAUCUCUAUGUCAAGUUGAUGUUUACAG